GGGUCGUUAGCUCAGUUGGUAGAGCAUUUGACUUUUAAUCAAUUGGUCGCAGGUUCGAAUCCUGCACGACCCA
rnacentral:tRNA from 1 species